GAUGAACGCUGGCGGCGUGCCUAAUACAUGCAGGUCGAGCGAACGGACGAGAAGCUUGCUUCUCUGAUGUUAGCGGCGGACGGGUGAGUAACACGUGGAUAACCUACCUAUAAGACUGGGAUAACUUCGGGAAACCGGAGCUAAUACCGGAUGAUAUUUUGAACCGCAUGGUUCAAAAGUGAAAGACGGUCUUGCUGUCACUUAUAGAUGGAUCCGCGCUGCAUUAGCUAGUUGGUAAGGUAACGGCUUACCAAGGCAACGAUGCAUAGCCGACCUGAGAGGGUGAUCGGCCACACUGGAACUGAGACACGGUCCGGACUCCUACGGGAGGCAGCAGUAGGGAAUCUUCCGCAAUGGGCGAAAGCCUGACGGAGCAACGCCGCGUGAGUGAUGAAGGUCUUCGGAUCGUAAAACUCUGUUAUUAGGGAAGAACAUAUGUGUAAGUAACUGUGCACAUCUUGACGGUACCUAAUCAGAAAGCCACGGCUAACUACGUG
rnacentral:rRNA from 1 species